CAGGAGUCACAACAGAAUGAUGCGAAAAGGAAAAAGGAGAAGUGGCGCUGGUUACUUGGCUGCAGCUGUUAUUUUUACAUGUUAUUUGGCGCAAACCAUUGACUGUUACCGAUUGAAGAAAACAGAAAGAAGAGAAGGACGAAAUGACCCUCAUGCAGCCAAAUCAGCAGCUGUCCAGGAGGGUAGAAUUAUUUUCGGGAGAGACCUUGAGACAGGGUCUGGCCUCGACUCUCAGGUCAUAGAUGGAAUUAAGAAAACCUUCUCAAAAGUUUCUGCUGAAGCUGAAGCUGCUUAUCAAGCGGACUCUCCAGUCCAAUCAGGCUGGCCUGAAGGACAUGCAAAUGAUUCCGAUGGCGGAGAUGCAUCAUGGAAGCGUAUGACAUCCUCCCUGCAGUGUAGUAGGACCAAAUGAAGUUCAGUGCAGUGGGACAAGGUGCUUCACAGUUUACAGUGGACAAAGGAACCUCGCAUCUGUCCCAAAUCCCACCAACCUGUGGCUACACAA